UACGGAGGGAGCUAGCGUUGUUCGGAAUUACUGGGCGUAAAGCGCGCGUAGGCGGCUUUGUAAGUUAGAGGUGAAAGCCUGGAGCUCAACUUCAGAAUUGCCUUUAAGACUGCAUCGCUUGAAUCCGGGAGAGGUGAGUGGAAUUCCGAGUGUAGAGGUGAAAUUCGUAGAUAUUGGAAGAACACCAGUGGCGAAGGCGGCUCACUGGACCGGCAUUGACGCUGAGGUGCGAAAGCGUGGGGAGCAAACGGG
rnacentral:rRNA from 1 species